UACAGAGGUCCCAAGCGUUGUUCGGAAUUACUGGGCGUAAAGGGCUCGUAGGUGGCCAACUAAGUCAGACGUGAAAUCCCUCGGCUUAACCGGGGAACUGCAUCUGAUACUGGAUGGCUUGAGUUUGGGAGAGGGAUGCGGAAUUCCAGGUGUAGCGGUGAAAUGCGUAGAUAUCUGGAGGAACACCGGUGGCGAAGGCGGCAUCCUGGACCAACACUGACACUGAUGAGCGAAAGCCAGGGGAGCAAACGGG
rnacentral:rRNA from 1 species